GCGUCGAUAGCUCAGUGGCAGAGCGGUAAGGUGCUGACUCAUGCGGCACGGGUUCGAGCCCCGGUCGACUCA